UACGUAGGGGGCAAGCGUUGUCCGGAAUCAUUGGGCGUAAAGAGCGUGUAGGCGGCCAGACAGGUCCGUUGUGAAAACUCGAGGCUCAACCUCGAGACGCCGAUGGAAACCGUCUGGCUAGAGUCCGGAAGAGGAGAGUGGAAUUCCUGGUGUAGCGGUGAAAUGCGCAGAUAUCAGGAAGAACACCCGUGGCUAAGGCGGCUCUCUAGUACGGUACUGACGCUGAGACGCGAAAGCGUGGGGAGCGAACAGGG
rnacentral:rRNA from 1 species